rnacentral:rRNA from 1 species
GGCUCACCAAGGCAACGAUACGUAGCCGACCUGAGAGGGUGAUCGGCCACACUGGAACUGAGACACGGUCCAGACUCCUACGGGAGGCAGCAGUAGGGAAUCUUCCGCAAUGGGCGAACGCCUGACGGAGCAACGCCGCGUGAGUGAUGAAGGUCUUCGGAUCGUAAAGCUCUGUUGUUAGGGAAGAACAAAUGUGUAAGUAACUGUGCCCAUCUUGACGGUACCUAACCAGAAAGCCACGGCUAA